UACGGUCAUAUCGCGUUGAAACACCGGUUCUUAUAUGAUCACCGAAGUUAAGCAACGUCGAUCCUUGUCAGUGCCUAGAUGGGUAACCGAUUGUGAAUACAAGGCGAUGUA